UUCAGAAGCGAUUGACAUUCGUCUUCUGCAUCCCCCAGCUCAUUUCUCCUCCAAUCGCCAAAUUGAAAAAGAAACUACAUGCGAGCUGUCAACUGCAAGAGAGAGAGGCGUGACUACCUCUGUUCCCUGUCAAGGAGACGCAACUUUCCCGAUCCCUGUGGACCAAUACAUCAGUAUUGUGUAUUCACAAUACAUUGGUUUUGAGUCAUGUAAUAUAAGAAGGUAAAUGUAUUUAUUCACAUUUGAUUUGAUGAUAACUUCAAUCAACAGGAUCAAUAUGCGAGUUUGUGAAGAUGACUGAAGGGGGUGGAUUUUGGGAAGGGGGGAGAUUUUCCCCCAGAUCACAAGAUAGCUUGUAUCUCUUUUCCUUUCAGUGAAAAACAUACACAUCACAAAUCUACUCUAACCCACCAUGGCAUGAGAAUGAAUAGUUCAACUGAAAACAAUGAAUUGGUCCUAUAACAAUAUCCGUUAUUCACCACCACAGGGACAAAUAAUCAUUAUAAACACUGGCUAAAGCCCCAACCCCAACCACAACAAAAGCCAGCCAGGCUAGAUCUGACUCAUUCAUUCUGAAUGAGGGGCCAACCCAACAUCCAAGGACAACGUACCUCAGAGAUCCUAGGUCCUCAUUCCUGACGGGGACACCGGCGGCGGAGGCAGAGGGGGGACAGCGCAUGCCGUUGACGUAUAUGCUCUGCACCAGGGCUAGCUCCGACGAGUGUUCCAACAUCGCACGGGACUCUUCCAGAAAAAUCCACCUUCUUAUGAGGAUGCGCAUAUGUCACAUUCUUCACAUUCCCUGGACUGACUGAUGAUAAACCAGAGGAUGAGAAGAGGGAGGGGAGAGAGGUACAGGGAGCGACACAGAGAGGGGGUGAUGGAGACCUUUGUGAGAGGGGGAGACCGAGCCAACCCUGUCUACCUCUAUACCCUCUCUCCAACUACAGUACAGUAUGUUCUCAUUAUUACACUGGUGCAGAGAUGGAUAGCAUAGCUUGCUGUAUGUUUAGUCAGUAAGAAAAAAUUCUGGUAAGCAUGGCUAUCUUUUAAUAAAGGAAGGAUUACGCUAGUCUCCUCUCUCAGAUGGCAUUUUGUUUGCAUGUUAAGCCUAACAUGAACAGAAAUCUCUCUGCAAUACUUUGCUAUAUGAAAUAUAGCCCCAGGUUACGUUCCAAAUGGCACCCUAUUCCCAUAUAGUGCACUACUUUUGAUCAGAGCCCUAUAGGCCCUGGUCAAAAGUAGUGCACUACAAAUGGAAUAGGGUGCCAUUUGGGAUACACUCAUUAUCAUAUCCCAUGGCAGUGUAGCAUAUUAGUUGUUUGACCAUGUCAAAUACUAGUGUGGUCAGUUGUUAUAUCUGUUUGUAGUAUAGCCAACGGUUCUUCUAACGUGCGUCUAUUGUCUUGUUUGGCAUGACAACACACGGUAGAGACGUUGGCUAUAGCACAAACAGAUCUGGUAACUAGGCCAGUCAAAUGCAUUCUCAACUACUUCACAUAAGACACACACACACACACACACACACACACACUUGAAGGGCAGUUUUACAUAAAGUGUUGUCACAGACCCUGGAGCCAUUGGCCACCAUCAACUGACAACAGGAACCAAAACAUGAAGAGGCAUACCCUUAUGUCGUUUCAAAUUACUGCCCUAAUUUGCAUAGCUUAUACACCUACAAUAGAGUUACCAAAAUUAAAAGUAUGGCAUGCAGUCAGAUAAUUUCCUGUUUAUAACUUUAUGUAGUUUAAAACUACUGCUUUAGUACCAUAAUUUGCAUGGCAACUCAUCAUAGUCCAUCCGGACUACACCACAGUGCUAUCAAAGUGAAGAGUAUGGCAGGAGUACAGUAGGCAGAGGAAAUAAACUAGAAAAUAUUUCACUAUGGCUUGCAGCCAGAUGACUUCCUGUUGAUGCGUAUAGUUCCUCCUUUUAUUCCAGGUACAUAAAGAAACAACCUAGUGUUUCAGUCUUACAACUUUAAGAUGAGAUUUGCUCUGUAAUAUCCUUCUCGGACUCUGAGAGCCCAGGAGAAAAUAAAUCUAGGCCUCCGACCCCCAUAGGCGUUCUCUCUUGCUCUCUUUCUCAUUCUCUCUCUCUGACUUUAAGUAGGAAAGUCAUUUGAAACAGGGUCAUGUAUGCUGUGCAGUACAUGUGGGUGUGUGUGCUGCAUGUGUGCCGAGCGGGUAUCAUAGGGGAUAAGACUGACAUGGUGAAGGGGAUCCUCUGAUCUGAGCGUAAAUCCCUCUGGUUUCAGCCUUGCUCUUUCUUGCACACUUAGUUUCCGCUGACAUAAAUAUUUUAACGCUGAUGUUGAAACCCUAGCUAGUCUUUGUGAUGUGUAGCUGCACCAUAUAAAGCAGAGAGCAACUAAAGUUAUUGUGUUCUUGCACUAAGUGAACUUACAGUAUCUCCUGAAAUACCUCUGAUCCAAGUGAUACAUUCAACAGUAGGCUUGAUUCUAAUGGACGAAAAUUGAUUUUGAAAGUGAAGCUGUAUCUAUUACAGAAACAUUGAAGUUAAAUUAUUCAGGAACUAACAUCCAUUUCAAGGUAACACUUUCCAGAAGGUGAAUAGAAUCUGAAAGGGAAGACUGCACAUCUGUAAACCAACCACAUGUGCUAGGCUACUGAAAGACACGUGAAAGGGUUUGAGACCUCUUGUCUGUCAGUCUCUCUCUCACUCUUUCGUUCUCACUCACGUGCUCCCCAUGACCCAAAGUGACAGGGUCGGUUUGUCUGGUGACUCAAUGUUCACUAGCACUGCAGAAAUACUUUUUUAUGAAACCGGAAAACAACUACCAGGAACUUUCUACGGUCAGAUUGUGAAACUGCUGCCUGUCUGUCUUGUUUUGUUGAAACCUCCAUCCAUUCUUUUGUGAAAAUGAAACCUCCAUCCAUAGGCUUUGGUUCUGGGUGUUGGAGGUGUCUGAUAGCUUUCAUUGGGUAAUCUCAAAUCAAAUUGCAUUGGUCACAUAUACAUACUUAGCAGAUGUUAUUGCGGGUGUAGCGAAAUGCUUGUGUUCCUAGCUCUAACAGUGCAGUAGUAUCUAAUAGUGCAGUAGAAUCUAAAAAUUAUUCACAAUACACACAUCUAAAAGAAUGGAAAUGGGUUGGUGCCCCCCCCUUGGGUUGUGCCGUGGCAGAGAUCUUUGUGGGCUAUACUCUGCCUUGUCUCAGGAUGGUAAA